UUGUUUGAAGAUACAAAGCCAAAGACUCAUACCGACUUCGGCUACACCAUCAAAGCUUUGUGAGGCAAUAAGAAGCUUGGUUAGUUUUUCGGAAUCAAAUAUGGCUAGAUGUCAUGUGUAUGAUUGAGUAUAAGAACUAGAACCGCAACUAAUUCCCAAAAGCUAAAUUAAUGUUUCCUUGUUAGAAGAUACAAAGCUAAAAACUCAUACGGACUUCGGCUAAGCCAUUCAUGUUUUGAGAAGCAAUAGGAAGCUUGGUUAUUUUUUUGGAGUCAAAUAUGACUGAUGUCAUGUGUAUGAUUGAGUAUAAGAAUUAGAACCGCAACCGUUUCCCAAAAGCUAAAGUAGUGUUUCCUUGUUAGAACAUACAAAGCAAAAGAAUCAUAUGGACUUCAGCUACACCAUCAAAGCUUUGAGGAACAAUAAGAAAAGCUUUGUUAUGGUUUUGGAGUCACAUAUGACUAGAGGUCAUGUGGAUGAUUGAGUAUAAGAACUAGAACUGCAACUGGUUCCCAAAAGCUAAAGUAAUGUUUCCUAGUUAGAAGAUACAAAGCCAAAGACUCAUACGGACUUUGGCUACACCAUCAAAGUUUUGAGAAGCAAUAAGUAGCUUGGUUAGUAUUUUGGUGUCAAAUAAGACAAGAUGUUAUGUGUAUGAUUAAGUAUAAGAACUUUAACCACAACUGAUUCCCAAAAGCUAAAGUAAUGUUUCCUUGUUAGAAGAUACAAAGCUAAAAACUCAUACGGACUUCGGCUAAGCCAUCAAAAUUUUGAGAAGCAAUAAGAAGUUUGGUUAGUGUUUUGGAGUCAAAUAUGACUAGAUGUCAUGUGUAUGAUUGAGUAUAAGAACUAGAACCGCAACCGUUUCCCAAAAGCUAAAGUAGUGUUUCCUUGUUAGAAGCUACAAAGCCAAAGACUCAUACAGACUUCGGCUACACCAUCAAAGUUUUAAGAAGCAAUAAGAAGCUUGGUUAGUAUUUUGGAGUCAAAUAAGACAAGAUGUUAUGUGUUUGAUUGAGUAUAAGAACUAGAACCGCAACAUCUUCCCAAAAGCUAAAGUUGUGUUUCCCUUCUAGAAGAUACAAAGCCAAAAACUCAUACGGACUUUGGCUACACCAUCAAAGCUUUAAGAAGCAACAAGAAGUUUGGUUAGUGUUUUGGAGUCAAAAAA
rnacentral:sRNA from 1 species